rnacentral:rRNA from 1 species
UACGUAGGGGGCAAGCGUUGUUCGGAAUUACUGGGCGUAAAGGGCGCGUAGGCGGCACGGCAAGUCGGGAGUGAAAGCCCGGGGCUCAACCCCGGAACGUCUUUCGAAACUGCCGAGCUAGAGUGCGGAAGGGGCAACUGGAAUUCCCAGUGUAGCGGUGAAAUGCGUAGAUAUUGGGAAGAACACCUGAGGCGAAGGCGGGUUGCUGGGCCGACACUGACGCUGAGGCGCGAAAGCCAGGGAGCGAACGGG